rnacentral:rRNA from 1 species
CCCUUAGAUGUUCUGGGCCGUACGCGCGCUACACUGAUGCAUUCAACGAGUCUAAAACCUGGUCUGAUAGGGCUGGGUAAUCUUUUGAAUGUGCAUCGUGAUUGGGAUAGAUGAUUGCAAUUCUUCAUCUUCAACGAGGAAUGCCUAGUAAACGCAAGUCAUCAGCUUGCAUUGAUUACGUCCCUGCCCUUUGUACACACCGCCCGUCGCUCCUACCGAUUGAAUGUUCCGAUGAAUACCAUGGACUGAGAGUAUGAAUGGGUUCGCCUAUUUCUGCUUCUCGGGAAGUGGAGUAAAUCUUAACAUUUAGAGGAAGGAGAAGUCGUAACA